GGAGAGUUGUCCGAGUGGCUUAAGGUACAUGAUUGGAAAUCAUGUGUACGAUAUAUAUCGUACCGAGGGUUCAAAUCCCUCAUUCUCCGCCA
rnacentral:tRNA from 1 species